AACCAAGGUUUCUGACCUGUAUGUGGUCUCUCUCCUUGCAACGCUGCAGGUCUGUCUCUGCUCUUGGUCACACUGGAACCCCUUCCGUGGGAACUGAAGACCGCUUUCUCUGCCUUUGGCGUGGCGUCUUUGGCCCAAGGCAUUUGUACCACCGCGCUGACAGCCUUGGCAACACAAUGCGCCAAAACCACUCCUGAGCUAUUUUACUUCUCCGUGAUUCUGUCCGUAAGCAACGUGAUGACAGCUGCCUUUUUCUCUCUCCUGGCGCCAUUCUGGCUGGCCAACGUGGUCUCUCCUGGCCUGAUCCUGAACAGGGAGACCAGGACGGGGAAAUGUUACAAGCCGGUCUCCGAAUGCAAUUGCCUGUGGCAUGUGUGACCCAUAAAGCAGCGGCUUUACCACAGCGAGUUAAACCCCCAGCUGCAGAAAAUAUUGCCAAUUAAAAGGAUGGCAGUUCAAGCCUGGGUUGGGGUGAGCUCCCAACCGUCAACCCAGCUUCUGCUAACCUAGCCGUUCGACAACAACAGUGAGUAGAUAAAAAGGUACUCCAUUUGCAGGGAGGUAAUAAAAGGUGCCCAUGCAGGCAGUUCAAGCCCAGGUUGGGGUGAGCUCCUGCCGUAAUCCUAGCUCCUGCUUACCUAGCAGUUCAAGAACAGCAAAGUGAGUAGAUAAAUAGGUACUGCUUUGGUGGGGAAGUAAUAAAAGGUGCCCAUCCAGACAUGCUGACAAUUCGAUCAGGGGAACGUCUAUCGACAACAAAGCUGCUCAGCAUGAAAGAUGGAGAGACAGCACCCCCUGUGGCUGGAGUCAAGCACAGCCUCCAGAUGCCAGAAAUGGAAAAAGAUAGGAAGCCUUUGCCUUUGUUUAUGUACUGUCUGUCUUUGUUAAUUGUAUAACGGGGUUGAAUGUUUGCCGUAUAUGUGUACUGGAAGCCGCCCUGAGUCCCCUCAGGGAGAUAGAGCGGAAGAUAAAUAAAGUAUUGCUGGAGUUCAGCCUGUGUUUGUGUCUAAUGAUCAGGGUACUCUGGAUGUUGGGAGUGACAAUGAGGUUCAUGUGUCUAAUGAUGAGGUUGCUCUAGAUGCAGGGAAUGCCAAUGGGA